GAUGAACGCUGGCGGCGUGCCUAAUACAUGCAAGUAGAACGCUGAAGCUUGGUGCUUGCACCGAGCGGAUGAGUUGCGAACGGGUGAGUAACGCGUAGGUAACCUGCCUCUUAGCGGGGGAUAACUAUUGGAAACGAUAGCUAAUACCGCAUAAAAGUCGACAUCGCAUGAUAUUGAUUUGAAAGGUGCAAAUGCAUCACUAAGAGAUGGACCUGCGUUGUAUUAGCUAGUUGGUGAGGUAACGGCUCACCAAGGCGACGAUACAUAGCCGACCUGAGAGGGUGAUCGGCCACACUGGGACUGAGACACGGCCCAGACUCCUACGGGAGGCAGCAGUAGGGAAUCUUCGGCAAUGGGGGCAACCCUGACCGAGCAACGCCGCGUGAGUGAAGAAGGUUUUCGGGUCGUAAAGCUCUGUUGUAAGAGAAGAACGAGUGUGAGAGUGGAAAGUUCACACUGUGACGGUAACUUACCAGAAAGG
rnacentral:rRNA from 1 species